GAGAAGUUACGUUAGGUUGAGGGAUUCACACAAAGAAGUCACUGGAAUAUGUUUUUGAAUCUGUGAAUCAGAAAGUAAAUGCGACUGCCAUUAUCAGGAGACCGCAAAGCUUAUCACCGGAACAGAGAUGUUUUUGAAUCUGAGAAUCAGAAAGUAAAUGUGAUUGGCAUUAUUAAGAAACCGUACCACCGGAACAGCAUCUUCUUCCCUUACAAUCGGAGCCUUUGCCAACUGGCGGAUCCAUCCUGAGAAUAACAUUGGAGACAGCAGUCAAUCAUCAUGAUCGUGUGACACCUAUUACUUUAACCGGUGUUCUGACUUGUUCAGUGGAGGCCCUUUUUGAUGGUUUUUCCUGGCGUUGAGAAAGAAGUUGAAUGGAGUAUCUGAAUAAAGAGGAUCAAUAGUCGUAGGACAAGGAAUACUGCCAUUGAAUAAUCUUACUCUGUUCUUCUUGGUUUCAAGAGCUACCAACAUCUCUCGGUAGCAUUGAUGAAAUUUGUUUUCAGUUAAUUGAGGAGAAACAAGAGUGACAACAUCAAUCAAGGGCUGUCAGUUUUUUUUUGCUCAAAAUAGUGGAAGUAUUGCGGUUGUUGCUGCUGUUGGGAUGUAAUUCACUUUCUCGCCUUUGCCUUUUGUCGACUGUCGGAUCCAUCAUGAGAACAACUUCGGAGACAGGUGUUGAGAAGAGGAGAUCUACCUUCUAAUUUUUGCAUGUUCACUUAGAUUUGUGAUUUUCUUAUGGGAUGAGACGAAACUUUGUUGUUACAGCCGUCAAUCAUCAUGAUCGUGACACCUGUUACUUUAAUCGGUGUUUUCACUCGUUCAGAGGUGUACCCUAAAUUACUCAUUCUUAUAUUUAUUUGUCUGUUUAUUUGUUGUAGUUCUUGGAGUAUCUGAAUAAAAAGGAACUUUUGAUGAGAUUAGUUUUCAGUCAAUUGAGAAGAAACGAGUGACACAUUCAAUCAAGGUGACAAAUUGUUUUGCUA